rnacentral:lncRNA from 1 species
UUGCAACCUGGUCUUUUAGGACAUUAUUGCAGAAUGGUCCACCGGACUCAAUCGCCUCUUCGGUACAAUACCCCUCUAUCAUGGACGCCUCGGGACGAGCACGAGUUGAUACAUAGCCAUUUAGUAUUGACAUAAAACGUUCGUAAGUCCACAUUUCAUGCAGGUACAUGGGACCCAGUGCCUGUGUUUUUGGAACCAAGUGCACCACAAGGUGCACCAUGAUAUCAAAGAAUGAUGGGG